CAAUAGCGUAUAUUAAAGUUGUUGCAGUUAAAAAGCUCGUAGUUGAAUUUUUGCUUGCCGCCGAUGUCGGAACUUCCGUACGUUCGGCGGCGUGCAUCCUUGGGUGGAACCUGGGUGGCAUUAGGUUGUCGUGCAGGGGAUGCUCAUCGUUUACUGUGAAAAAAUUAGAGUGUUCAAAGCAGGCUUACGCCGUUGAAUAUAUUAGCAUGGAAUAAUAAGAUAGGACCUUGGUACUAUUUUGUUGGUUUGCGCACCGAGGUAAUGAUUAACAGGGACAGUUGGGGGUAUUCGUAUUCCAUUGUCAGAGGUGAAAUUCUUGGAUUUCUGGAAGACGAACUACUGCGAAAGCAUUUACCAAGGAUGUUUUCAUUAA
rnacentral:rRNA from 1 species